rnacentral:rRNA from 1 species
UACGUAGGCAGCAAGCGUUGUUCGGAGUUACUGGGCGUAAAGAGUAUGUAGGCGGUUGCGUAAGUUCGGUGUGAAAUCUCCCGGCUUAACUGGGAGGGUGCGCCGAAAACUGCGUGGCUAGAGUGCGGGAGAGGAGAGCGGAAUUCCUGGUGUAGCGGUGAAAUGCGUAGAUAUCAGGAGGAACACCGGCGGUGUAGACGGCUCUCUGGACCGUUACUGACGCUGAGAUACGAAAGCGUGGGUAGCAAACAGG